rnacentral:rRNA from 1 species
AACGAACGCUGGCGGCGUGGAUAAGACAUGCAAGUCGAACGAGAGAAUUGCUAGCUUGCUAAUAAUUCUCUAGUGGCGCACGGGUGAGUAACACGUGAGUAACCUGCCCCCGAGAGCGGGAUAGCCCUGGGAAACUGGGAUUAAUACCGCAUAGUAUCGAAAGAUUAAAGCAGCAAUGCGCUUGGGGAUGGGCUCGCGGCCUAUUAGUUAGUUGGUGAGGUAACGGCUCACCAAGGCGAUGACGGGUAGCCGGUCUGAGAGGAUGUCCGGCCACACUGGAACUGAGACACGGUCCAGACACCUACGGGUGGCAGCAGUCGAGAAUCAUUCACAAUGGGGGAAACCCUGAUGGUGCGACGCCGCGUGGGGGAAUGAAGGUCUUCGGAUUGUAAACCCCUGUCAUGUGGGAGCAAAUUAAAAAGAUAGUACCACAAGAGGAAGAGACGG